UACGUACUGUGCGAACGUUAUUCGGAAUCACUGGGCUUAAAGGGUGCGUAGGCGGCCGAUUAAGUAGGGUGUGAAAUGCCAGAGCUCAACUUUGGCAUUGCGCUCUAGACUGAUUGGCUUGAGUGAGAUAGGGGUGUGCGGAACUUCCAGUGGAGCGGUGAAAUGUGUUGAUAUUGGAAGGAACGCCGGUGGCGAAAGCGGCACACUGGGUCUUAACUGACGCUGAGGCACGAAAGCCAGGGGAGCGAACGGG
rnacentral:rRNA from 1 species